UAGCUCCGGGGGGCCAACCGCCCCCACCUCUUUACCCAUGUGGACAUUUCUGCGUUGCUUUGGCGAGCUCAGGGGCACCCCCCCGGAGGUCAAUCGCCAGAGACCUAAUCAAUUGUUAUUUAUAAUUGUCAUCUGAGCAAAAACCAUAAUCGUUAAAACUUUCAACAACGGAUCUCUUGGCUCUGGCAUCGAUGAAGAACGCAGCGAAAUGCGAUAAGUAAUGUGAAUUGCAGAAUUCAGUGAAUCAUCGAAUCUUUGAACGCACAUUGCGCCCCUUGGUAUUCCGAGGGGCAUACCUGUUCGAGCGUCAUUGCUCACCUCAAGCCUGGCUUGGUCUUGGGCGUUGCGUCCCGCGGGACGGGUCCGAAAAACAGUGGCGGUGCAGUUGCGACCGGCAGCGUAGUAAUAAUCUCUCGUUCGACGCGUCGCGCUGUGCCUGCCAGCCAACCGUGAUGAUUUCUCAUCGGUUGACCUCGGAUCAGGUAGGGAUACCCGCUGAACUUAAGCAUAUCAAUAA
rnacentral:rRNA from 1 species